rnacentral:tRNA from 1 species
AUUCAAAUAGUUUAAUAAAAUACUGAAUUGUGGUGUCAGAGUUAUAGUUUCUAUUUUGAAUA